GGAGAGAAUUCGAAUGUCAUUUUAAGCGACUCUUGUCUGUUGGGAUUUGUUGCUGCAGCCACAAAGCCCAAACACAGUGUCCACCUCCUUAGGGCUUCUACACUCUCCUAAAAGAAGUGAGGCUGUGGUCAUCUGCAUCCAGUUCUUUUGCAUGCAUUGUUACAAGGACAGCUGUGGCCCUGUGGAGCCAGCCCAAAUCCCAGCCCUCUGAGGGCAGGCGCCUUGUGUCCGAAACAGGAGCACCUCAACAACCAAGCACUGAUGUCAGCACCCAGGUUCCAGCACUCAGCAUCAUAAUCAGAAGAGACCAACACCUUGCUGGGCACGCUGACCGGACUCCACCAAUGCUAUUUCCCAGCCUGCAGACCACUCUGCCUGUCUCAGAUCACAGCCACUAAUGGGGAAUCCAGGGGACUCCAAGAAGAACAAAGGCCAACCAAGACGCCAGCGUGAGCCACCAAGUCCAGCCACGGUGACUUCCCCGGGGGACUUCUGCCACCGCACCCCCUGCCCACAGGGGCUUUCCUGGCCAAAGAGCCAUCCUGCCGCUCCAUCGGUCUCUGGAGAAACCAACCCUGCAACACAGCAGAGGGCUGGGCAAGGCGGUAACUUAGAGAUCCCUGGCUGAGAACCUCAAGGUUGAAGAUAAAUUCAUUUGCCUUCAGGUGCUUGAGCUGAUCCAUUAAUUACAGCUGACUUGGACCGGCUCUCUGUAAACAGGAUUACAGGCAGAAGCAUUCUGUCCUCUGGUCUUCUAAUGUGCCACCACAUGUGACAAUGGCUUGCCAAUUCCAGUCCCUGUGGGGAGGGCUUGUCCCCAUGACAAUGUGCAGGUGAGCAGGCUUUCCCCUCUCUCCUCCUCCUCAGGGACAGAGGCUGCAGGCCAGAGGAGUCUCUGGUAGGAAGGGAUCAGGUGGAGCCCCUCCAGGUACCUUUUCGGCACAUGAGGCAGAGCAACGUUCAGAGGUCCGGGAUGGUGGCUGACUCGGCUCCAGGGGGCCUGAGGGGAGAGGUGAAGGCGAUUCCACCCAGCCUGGAAACUCCCCGACUCUCAGCCUUCCCACUGGGAGAGGCAUCAGUGUCUGUCCCCUCCGACCAUUCCGGAGUACACGGGGCCUAGAUGCGGGGUUGGGUGAGCACCGCUGGCAGCACUGAAUUUCAGGGGAGGCUCCACUUCCUUCCCAGAGAAACGAAAGCUCAGGGCUGUCUGGGUGUCCCUGCAGCCUUUGCCCACAGCUUAAGUUCUGACACCUCACCUCUGAGGGCGGCCAGGCAGGGCCACAGGGGGCCUUCCAGGUCCUUCCACCCGUUCUCUGGGGCUGCACACACCCAGCAGGGCGGCCCCUCCCCACCCCACCGUCACCCACCUGCAGCUCCCCGUGCCCCCCCCAGCACCUCAGCAGAUGGCAUUCUGAGUCCCACCACGGCUCCAUCCCCGCUCCCAGCCCAUUCAGGGUCCAAGGCCAGACUUGGUGGCCUUCAUUACAGACUAUAACACAAAAACACAAUAAAAUAAAA
rnacentral:lncRNA from 1 species